rnacentral:rRNA from 1 species
UGACUCCUACGGGGCGCAGCAGUAGGGAAUAUUGCACAAUGGGGGAAACCCUGAUGCAGCAACGCCGCGUGAGUGAUGACGGCCUUCGGGUUGUAAAGCUCUGUCUUCAGGGACGAUAAUGACGGUACCUGAGGAGGAAGCCACGGCUAACUACGUGCCAGCAGCCGCGGUAAUACGUAGGUGGCGAGCGUUGUCCGGAUUUACUGGGCGUAAAGGGAGCGUAGGCGGACUUUCA